rnacentral:misc_RNA from 1 species
GGAAGUAAGAGUCGUAGCAAGGUUUCCGUAGGUGAACCUGCGGAAGGAUCAUUAUUGUAUAACCGAGGUGCGAGGGCUGUCGCUGACCCGAAAGGUCGUGCACGCCCGAGUGCCCUCACACACAUCCAUCUCAUCCCUAUGUGCACCACCGCGUGGGUCCCCCUUUGGCUUGUUCGGAGGGGGGCUUACGUUUUCACACAAACUUUGUAUGCAGUGUAGAAUGUAUUUUUUGUUUUUGCGAUCACGCAAUCAAUACAACUUUCAACAACGGAUCUCUUGGCUCUC